rnacentral:rRNA from 1 species
UACGUAGGGUGCGAGCGUUGUCCGGAAUUAUUGGGCGUAAAGAGCUCGUAGGCGGUCUGUCGCGUCGAUCGUGAAAACUUGGGGCUUAACCCUGAGCUUGCGGUCGAUACGGGCAUGACUGGAGUUCGGCAGGGGAGACUGGAAUUCCUGGUGUAGCGGUGAAAUGCGCAGAUAUCGGGAGGAACACCAGUGGCGAAGGCGGCGACCUGGGCCAAUAUUGACGCUGAGGUGCGAAAGCGUGGGGAGCAAACAGG